rnacentral:rRNA from 1 species
GACGAACGCUGGCGGCGUGCUUAACACAUGCAAGUCGAGCGGUAAGGCCCUUUCGGGGUACGACGAGCGGCGAACGGGUGAGUAACACGUGGGUGACCUGCCCUCAGCUCUGGGAUAAGCCUGGGAAACUGGGUCUAAUACUGGAUAUGACUCCACGGUGCAUGUCGUGGGGUGGAAAGCCUUGUGCGGCUGAGGAUGGGCCCGCGGCCUAUCAGCUUGUUGGUGGGGUGANGGCCUACCAAGGCGACGACGGGUAGCCGGCCUGAGAGGGCGACCGGCCACACUGGGACUGAGACACGGCCCAGACUCCUACGGGAGGCAGCAGUGGGGAAUCUUGCGCAAUGGGCGAAAGCCUGACGCAGCGACGCCGCGUGAGGGAUGACGGCCUCGGUGUAA